AGCGUGAACGUAACGAUCAUGUAUUCGGUACGCGGCAGCACUCGAGUUCCCACAAGAAAAACGGAGCUUUUGCAACGCGAGCGAAAUCGGCCGGUUAGUCGACUGGCUGGCUGUGUUGGCUGGUCGUUCAGCAGCUGCAGAAAAGCGUAUCGUGUUCUCCACGAGGUGUCUUGCUUUGCCGGGAUUUUAUCGCGUGGCCCCCUUCGUGGCGUUAUACCCUGUGCUCGCUUUGUUCGCUCUGGUGCACGCGCACGAGCCGCCGUUGCCCUCUCUGUCUUACUGUGAUCUAGGCUAACCGCGUUCGACGUCCCUCGUAAGUAGGAGCAUAACCCCAUCGCUGUAACGUACCACGGUACCAUCGUCAUCUCGAGUAUCGCUACUACCGUGCCACCAAUACGCUGCAGCGUGACAAGUACUUCCAACCACACGCUCCUUCUUUCGUUAUCGAGUAAUGAAGCGUUCGAACAUCGAAUUUAAAGGUACAAAAUGAAAGGAGAAAACAGGAUUACUCUUCCGUAGCAAACUACAUGAGCUCGUUGCAACAUCCAUAACAAGCAGAGCAGGAUACGAGAGAGCUUCUGAGAGAUUCAGUAAUCAGUCGCAACAUUGUUGCCCGGUUUCGGGCAGAAAACCAGCGAGAAAGUACAGAAGAAGGAAUCGAGGCCACUUGUCGGUCGUCGAGCGUGGAAAUUCGAACGAGGGUAAUGGAAAAUCGUGAUAAUGAGCACGGCGAAGGAGGACAGGAGAGGAGAGGAAUGCGAGGAGUAAGACAUUAGAAAGAUAAGAUAGAAGAGCGAGAUGAAGAAAAUGGAAAGAGAGAGAGAGAGAAAGAGAAAAUGAUAGAUCUUCUCAAGCGAUGCGACCCUGUUUCUAAACGGCGCACUCUGUAUUUGCAUAACUCACAAAUACCAUCGAGGCUGCUUCAAGAUCGCUCGUAAAUCAUCAACGCCACGGGGAUGCUCCGUUUUCAUUAUCGAAAUCCUGGAAAAUUAAAGAAGUUGGGCCGUAUCGUUUCGCUCGCAUUGAUAAGACAACGCGUUCCGUUUAGUGGGACGCGGUAAACACGUAAUCGAGAAUUAAUGUUUCUUCUUGGCUGGUUCUGUAAUACUUUUCUUUUUCAUUGUAUGAAUUUUCUCUUUAGCGGCUAAUAAAUGAAUUUGAAAUUAUACUAUUACAACGUAAUAAGAUAAUUAUCGAUCAAACUGCCUAGAUUAUAAUAAUUAGACUGCGGAUUGUAAAAUGCACACAAUAUGCAAAAUGGUUUGAAAUAUCCAAGAUACAGAUUCUCGAGUACAUUCUUUUCGAGGUCUAAAAUAUUUCCAAAAUAUAAAUUUGCGUAAAUGUCCGCGAUGUAAUAAUAAUCAAAUAAUAUGAAGUUUUACAGUGGAAUUGUCAUAACAGCGAUACCAGUAAUUAAGCGUUAAUCAAGGUAUUCGUCGUCUAAAUCGAACCAUAAUCAGUUUAAAAUUCCUUCUAACCUGGGAUCAAAUUUUUCGCCUCGUAUCUAGAACAAAUCAAUUAUGCAAAGAACAUCGUAGUUUCCAUGUCCGGAUUCAUCCACAGCCGAGCAAAUACCAAUCGACUGUUACACGCCCAAUUCUACU